rnacentral:rRNA from 1 species
CUACGGGGGGCUGCAGUGGGGAAUAUUGCACAAUGGACGAAAGUCUGAUGCAGCAACGCCGCGUGGAGGAUGACACAUUUCGGUGCGUAAACUCCUUUUAUAUAGGAAGAUAAUGACGGUACUAUAUGAAUAAGCACCGGCUAACUCCGUGCCAGCAGCCGCGGUAAUACGGAGGGUGCAAGCGUUACUCGGAAUCACUGGGCGUAAAGAGCGUGUAGGCGGAUAGAUAAGUCAGGAGUGAAAUCCUAUGGCUCAACCAUAGAACUGCUCUUGAAACUGUCAAUCUAGAGUGUGGGAGAGGUAGAUGGAAUUUCUGGUGUAGGGGUAAAAUCCGUAGAGAUCAGAAGGAAUACCGAUUGCGAAGGCGAUCUACUGGAACAUAACUGACGCUGAGACGCGAAAGCGUGGGGAGCAAACAGGAUUAGAUACCCCGGUAGUC